UUUUUUUUUUGUUAGGAGUGUUUGUAUAAAAAUAGAAAUCUAGUAAGAGUGGCGGCAAUAGAAACCAAGAAGUCACAGUGGCUUUGUGGCACCUCCAGGUGUGGGGGUACCAGGGAGAUUGGGAAGCACUUCUGGGAAACACUCAAGCAAGUGUUCACAUGGCCAACUAUUUUUUAAGAUGAGAGGACAGAGAAGAUGUUCUGUAGUUAAGACUGUAGUUAGUAUAGCCUGCUGUUUGCUUCCCCAGAUGGUCCAGGAGAACUCAUGUGCUCAUCUGUAGCCAUUUGUAGAACUAGCUUCAGGAUCACUGACAAGCCUCCACUGAGUGUCAGCUACAGAAAAUAUCUGUCCUAAGCCAGAAUAUUACCAGGGUACAAUGAUUUCUAGCCUUGAGAGACUAUAAAAGAAGUUGAGGAGAUAAAGAUUUAAAAAGCAUAAAUACUAAGUAGUGUGAGUUAAUUCAUAGUAUAGAUCAGCAGUCACUAAUUUUUUUAAAGGAUAAGAUGCUAAAUAUUUUCAGCUUUGUGGGCCACAUGGUCUCUACUGAACUCUGUUGUAGACAGUUAUGUAAAUGAAUGAGUGUGCUGUGUUCCAACAAAACUUUAUUUAUGAAUACUGGAAUUUGAAAUUCAUGUAAUGUUCAUGUGCCAUGACAUAUUAAUCUUCAUUUGAUGCUUUUCAACAAUUUAAAAUUUAAAACCUAUUUUAGCUAGCAUACUGUACAAAACAGCAUGGACCACAUUUGGUCUGUGAGCUGUGAUUUGCUGCACCAUGGUAUAGAUGAUAAGUGCUCUGGUUUGUUGGGAUAUGAGGAUGUGUUAUAUUCAUUGUGGAUGACAUCUCUCAUAGGUAAGUCAAAUAUAUAAGGCUUUAUGCUUGAUUUUUGAGAUAACUAGGUUUAGUCUCCAUUAUUUUGUAGUUGACUAAUCAGUUAUUUAAUUAUUUCCAGUGGGGACAUGCCUGUUUGGGGCUAGAAUUUAGAGGUAUUCAUGUAUGCCACUGGGCGGUGGUUUCGAUGGUACAGCAUAGGGGUUGCAUAUUGGACAGCAGUAAUGGGAACCAGGUAUCUUUGACUGUUGGGUGAAGUGGGACAUGCCUCAGGAAAGAGGGGCCUUAGAUGUUCUUGAGCAGAAGGAUAAUCUGAUCAGAACUGUGCUUCAUGUGGUUUAGAGUUUAGACCAGAAAGAUGAAAGGAGAGCAGGGUAAGGGAACUAACACUGGGCUUCUUUCUCUUCUCUAGAGGUUUGUUCAUUCAAUCAUUUCUCCCUUGGGGGGAAUGAAGGGGAAGGCUGGUUUGUGAAGUAUUGCUUGAAGGUGAAGAGAGGGAAAAGUGCUUCAGAUUGAAUGUGAAAAAUAAAGAAAAGAAUCAAAGAUAAUUCAAAGCUUCCAAGCUCAGGUGACUAGACGAGUGGUAAGAGGGAGUCAGAAGAAGUUGGUUUUUGGAGAGAAGUUUGGGCUUAGACACUGCACUCACCAGGUAAGUCAGCAAAUGCCCACAGAUUCAAGUUCCAAGAGAUUCAGCUGAAGAUUCAUUGCUCUUUUAGUGAAUACUGCCCAAAGAGGACUUUAAAAAUGUUACUAUGUGCCUUAAAUUAUUAACAGUUGCUUGUAUUGUGCUUUGUCAUUGACAACUGUGGGUGGGGAGGGUUGGUUACAUUUAGUGGAUCAGUAAAAAUGUUUGGAGAGCUACAAAAUUUUAAGGCAUUAUGGAAAAUGAAUACACACAGAAAUUGUCAUACUCGAUUUAGUAGUCCCAGAAAUUGGAUGUAUUACAAGCAGUAAUUGUUUUAGUUCAGAUUUAAAUAUGUCAAAUCAAUAUGUUUAACACCUUUAACAUAUGCCUCAAACAUAUUCUGCUUUUUAUUCCCCUAACAUUUGGUUUAUGAAUAGAAAACAAAGAAGUUAGGGAUUUUAUUCACAGAGGCCUCAUUGCUUUAGCUUAGUGAUUUGUAGCACUUAUUCUUUUUCAUUAGAAAAUCUUCAAAAGCACAGUUUCUUUCUGUUUUUGAUGGAUCCAUUGCAUUUCCAAGUUCCUUGUGUGGUUACCUAGAUGUUGUCACUGUUCUACCAGUCUUCCCUCUGAGUGGCUCAGUUAUUCUGUCUGCUCUGAUUAUUAAUCUGCCACCAUGGCCACAUUUCUAAUUUAGAGAAUUAGUGGCAAUUUCUUGCGAUGCUCAUCUUAAGUGGCACCCGUGGAUCCUGAGGAAGACUGGCUUUGAAGCACAGUUCCUGACAGUUUAACAUUUCCCAAGUAGGGAAGAACUCCCACUACCCUCCUGAGGAGAGGGAGUGCAUGUAGUGCAUGUAGAAUGAAGAAUGAGGCACACCCCAGCUCUGUUUUGCUGUGUAAAAGCAAGGAGAGGAGUUUGUACCUCUCCUCCUUUCUUCCUUUUUCUCUCCUUCUUCCUUCCUUCUCUAUUUCCUGCCUUCCUUUCUCCUUUCCACUAAAGCAGUCACUCCAGUCAGGCUGAAAUGAGGAAGGCAGAAGUCAUUUUAAAUGCUCCAAGUGGGAAAGAUUUUAACAGAGGAAAACAGAGGCCUUCACAAUUGUUGGAUAGGCUGGUGGCAUAAAAGUCAGGGAAGCCCCUGCCACUGGGACCUACACCAAAGGAGAAGACUUCCAAGCAGAUUCUUUAGCUUCUCCUUUUUAGUUUGCCAGGAUAUAUGCAAAUCACUCUCACUGGGAGAUUUGUAGCCAAGACAAAGGAAUUCUGGGAAAGGUAGUUCUCCUCUCUCUUAGCCUUGCCCCCAUGAUACAGUGGGUAAAACAGAUUGAGGUGACAGUAACAUCAAGUUGACAACACUGUGAUGCAUUUGUUGAGCCUUUAUCAAGUCAGACAAAGAUGAGUGUGGUGAUUUCUCAGCAUCCCCACAGCCUGGUUAAGUUGACUGAUGUUAGUUUUCUUAAGACAGUAAAUUUUGCUGAGUGGCUGUGCCAGGACAAGUCCUCCCAGGAAAGCUCUGUUACAAAGUGGAUUCUAAUCACCAGGGUCAUUUACAUCAGAGCUCAUCUUGGGUCCAAAUGCUAACAGCUGCUUACAGUGAGAGCACGACACACAGCAAUUACCAGAGACAGAAACAUUGUUCCCCAACAUAAGUAGUAUAAUGCCACUAAAUUCCCAAGGUGCUUUUCAAAAUAUUAAUAUGCUUGUUAAAUUCUUUUCAGAUAGUUUUUCACCAUAAUUUAAAAUUACGUAUCCCUCUUGACUGGGCGAAACCUCCCAUAUAAAAGAGGGUAAGAUGUUACAUGAAGGUAACUAUAAAACCUCAGAGCAGCUUUUGCUCAUUUUAACACCACAUAUCAUUACAUUACGGAGAAGAUUUCAAGGAGAUUUAGUGCCUAUAAAUUACUGAGGAUUUGGUGAAACUGGUGUCUCUAGUCUUAGUCCUGUCAAAUAUGGACUACCCUGCCACAGGGCCAUGUGAUAUUUUGAGAGAUGGGCAUCAUGUGAAAUGAGAAAUUAGCUGUGUAAAUUACGUAUUCUUUGUUCCAGACUUACUUUCCUCAAUAAGACUCCCCUGAAUCAUAGCAGACAGAGAAUUAAGUAGUGGAAAAUUUUAUUUAAAUGUGCUUGUGGAAGCAAUGCAUGAGCAAACCUGGGUCCCAGCUCCCAUAAUGGCUCCUGUUGUCCACAUGCAGGAUAAAAUCAGCCCCACAUCAUAGCUCCAGUCUGGGCCCUUCAGCCUCUGCAGCCUUAAAGCUCUGGGCUUCCUUAUGUUGGCCUUCUUUUCCUAGGGCUUCCUUAAGUUUGUCUUGUCAUUUCACACCUGUAUCUUUGGAAGUAUGGUUUGCUCAGAUUGAAACCCUAUCAUCCUCCCCUUCCUCUACACUGGCACCAAAAUCAGCCUGAUUUCUAUUCACUUUUUAGUUCUCUGAGCUCUGCCAAGCUCUGUGUCCUCUGUAUUUUCAUUGCUUAGCUAUUAUUUCUGCUUAAAUUUUUAUUUUGAUGACUCAAUUGCUUUUAAGUUUUCUGCAUCAGACUAAAAGCUCCUCAAAGACAGAGACUCUUCUUAUGCAACUUGGCAUCUUUAGAGCUAAGUAGAACUCCCCAUACAUAGUAAAGGCUCAUUAGCUGAUAAAUGAGUGAAUGAACUAAGCCUGGGAGCAGGUAACUUCUAAUCACAAUGAUAAAAUGAAUAAAACAGAACUAACUUUGAUUCCCAUUUAAUUAUUUUAUAACUACAACAGUAUUAUAACUUUUUAAAAUCAUAAUUCUACAAAAGGAAGCAAUUAUAGAUCUUUCAUAAUGUUUUGCCCAGCACCUAGUAUUCUACCAGGGCCUUCUGCACAAUAUGUAAUGCCUAUAAUAAUGAACCAAGCUGGCUAAUAUAUAUUUUUUUCCUUCUAAUUAAUUCGCUCUCCCUAGUUUACCUUGCAAAUGCAGCUGCUGGGAGAAGCUCUGAUGGUUAUGGGGUUAAAGAGGAAAUGGUCAUAAUUUUUAUUUAGUGUUUUCCAUAUAAAUGCACCUCAUUAUCUGCUGUACCUCAUUAUAUAUGAUCUAUUUUAUGACCAUUUAGUUCUCCUUAGCAGUCCUGUUUUUAUUCUGUUAUGCUUGCUGUCUAAACUCUCAACUUUAUGACUCCAUUACCCUGGCUCACUGCUGCCUGCUAUCCCACUCCCACUGCAGAGGUGGAUAAUGUAGCUUUGCUGUUGCCAGGCCAGCGUUUCUAAUAAAUUCCUCGCAAACAGACAGGCAGUGGAAGAGGGCCCAGCGGCUCAGUGUCAUGCUUUCAUAUCACAUCACUAGGCUCUCAUUAGAUACUUUCCAAUCCUUGCUUUUUAUUUUCUCAUAUGCUUCCCCCCCCCCACCCCCGCUGACUUGCUUAAUCCUUACUGAGAAAUGUCAAUGUAAUUAACUUAAGUUAUAAUUAUUUGAAAGUGGACUUUGUUAUAAUGCCUUUUAUCAUUUUCCACUUCUCCCCCCUACCAAACUGCAAGUACCUGAGAGCUCUGCUGUGUAAAUAGAGUGGUGGAGUGGGGAGAAAUUGGCUCUUAUAACCUUGACAAUUCAUCCACUUCUUACACCUCCAUAAUUAAGGAUACUGAUGACAUUGCCACUUACAACUUUAUGUCUUGAAAUUUUAUUCAGUAAGAUAUUUUCAAGGAAGUUAAAUAGAUUCUGGGCAAAUUCAUUUUUACCAAUCUUAAAAUGGUAGAAUAAACUUGUAAGGUACCAAACUUAAAAUAAUAGAUGCUAUGCUGUACUUUAUUUGUAACAGAGUCCAUUCACACAUAUCAUCCCCUUUAAUCUUCACAGUGGCUUGGAGUGAUGAGUGGAAUUGUCAUUUUAGAGUAAAGGACUUAAAACAAUGGGUGGUUAAGUGAUUGCCUUGUUCAAGACUUUAUAGUUUUUAACAAUGAUCCCAAAAUUUGGACUUUUUUCAAUCAUUAGUUCAUUCAACUAAUCAAUAAUUAUUGUGACUAAACAUGUGCCAAGCAGCGUGCCUGGUACUGAAGAAGUUGAUGAAUGAGUAGUCAUUCCAGAACUACGCGGUGUGGCUUGGAGAGACCUAAACAAAGCAGACAGAGGGGUGAUUGGAGGCAGAUAACUAGGGCACGGCAGGUGGUGGUACAGGAGAGCCAGAGGAGUCUCAGGAGUUUGGCAUAUAUUCUGAAGUGAAAAGGAAUCAGUGAAGGAUUUUCUUCU
rnacentral:lncRNA from 1 species